AUUGAACGCUGGCGGCAUGCCUUACACAUGCAAGUCGAACGGUAACGGGCCUUCGGGUGCCGACGAGUGGCGAACGGGUGAGUAAUGUAUCGGAACGUACCUUUCAGUGGGGGAUAACGUAGCGAAAGUUACGCUAAUACCGCAUAUUCUGUGAGCAGGAAAGCAGGGGAUCGCAAGACCUUGCGCUGAUUGAGCGGCCGAUAUCAGAUUAGCUAGUUGGUGAGGUAAAGGCUCACCAAGGCGACGAGCUGUAGCGGGUCUGAGAGGAUGAUCCGCCACACUGGAACUGAGACACGGUCCAGACUCCUACGGGAGGCAGCAGUGGGGAAUUUUGGACAAUGGGGGCAACCCUGAUCCAGCCAUGCCGCGUGAGUGAAGAAGGCCUUCGGGUUGUAAAGCUCUUUCGGCCGAGAAGAAAUCGUAUCAGCUAAUACCUGGUGCGGAUGACGGUACCGGCAUAAGAAGCACCGGCUAACUACGUGCCAGCCGCCGCGGUAAGAC
rnacentral:rRNA from 1 species